UGACCUCAAGUAAUCUGCCUGCCUCGGCCUCCCAAAGUGCUGGGAUUACAGGCAUAAGCCACCAUGCCCAGCCAGUCUAGGCAGUUUUAAAGUACUAAAUGAUUUUGCAAGCAUUUAACAUCUCCUAUAAGAUAGCAGGUCUUAGUUAUGUGCCAGGCACUGGUAUUAAGUAUUUUGUUUAUAUUACUUCAUUACAACAACCAUAAGAGGCACAUAUUAUUUUAACCCCCUAUUUUACAGAGGAAAAAUUGGAGACACAGGAAACUUGAGUAGUCUUAAGUUAAAAAGCUAGAAAGUAGCAAAUCCAGAAUUUAAGUCUAAGCAGUCUACCUUCAGAAUUUUUACACCCUAACUUUUCCUUUCUGUUUCAUCUAUAUUUCAAACUUUGGGUAUUUAAAGACAUUGGGACUGUUCUGGAGAAGCUGAUAUUUAGGAAAUCUGGUUGCUGCUCACAGAAUAAAAUCUUAGGUUCAGUGUAAAUUCAGUAAUGACUGGAAAACCAACAACUCAGUUCACAAGUACUUUAAAAAUAGGUAACUGUUUAACAUUUCGUCUUCCCAACAGCCUGCUGAACUGUAAAUUCUACCAUCUCCACUUUGCAGAUGAGGAAAUUGAGACUUUGACAAGUCAAAGAGCACAGCUGGAAUGCAAGUCAAAUAUGUACAAGGAUAUCCACAACACUGUUCGCAGCUACAAGCUGAGGUACAAGGUGCCUCAAAAGCUUGAGAGAAGCAGAAAUAGAAUAGAAUCCUGACCUGUGAAAACAAUGACUCUGCAAUAAGGUGCAGAGUUGGCUGGAUGUGAAGGCUCACACCUGUAAUCC
rnacentral:lncRNA from 1 species